rnacentral:rRNA from 1 species
CCUACGGGUGGCAGCAGUGAGGAAUAUUGGUCAAUGGACGAGAGUCUGAACCAGCCAAGUCGCGUGAAGGAUGACUGCCCUAGGGGUUGUAAACUUCUUUUAUAUGGGAAUAAAAUGUUCCACGUGUGGGCUUUUGUAUGUACCAUAUGAAUAAGGAUCGGCUAACUCCGUGCCAGCAGCCGCGGUACUACGGAGGAUCCGAGCGUUAUCCGGAUUUAUUGGGUUUAAAGGGAGCGUAGGUGGUUUGUUAAGUCAGUUGUGAAAGGUUGGGGCUCAACCGUAAAAGUGCAGUUGAAACUAGCAGUCUUGAGUACAGUAGAGGUGGGCGGAAUUCGUGGUGUAGCGGUGAAAUGCUUAGAUAUCACGAAGAACUCCGAUUGCGAAGGCAGCUCACUGGACUGCAACUGACACUGAGGCGCGAAAGUGUGGGUAUCAAACAGGAUUAGAUACCCCUGUAGUC